rnacentral:rRNA from 1 species
CCUACGGGAGGCAGCAGUGGGGAAUUUUGGACAAUGGGCGAAAGCCUGAUCCAGCAAUGCCGCGUGAGUGAAGAAGGCCUUCGGGUUGUAAAGCUCUUUUGUCAGGGAAGAAACGGUGAGAGCUAAUAUCUUUUGCUAAUGACGGUACCUGAAGAAUAAGCACCGGCUAACUACGUGCCAGCAGCCGCGGUAAUACGUAGGGUGCAAGCGUUAAUCGGAAUUACUGGGCGUAAAGCGUGCGCAGGCGGUUUUGUAAGUCUGAUGUGAAAUCCCCGGGCUCAACCUGGGAAUUGCAUUGGAGACUGCAAGGCUAGAAUCUGGCAGAGGGGGGUAGAAUUCCACGUGUAGCAGUGAAAUGCGUAGAUAUGUGGAGGAACACCGAUGGCGAAGGCAGCCCCCUGGGUCAAGAUUGACGCUCAUGCACGAAAGCGUGGGGAGCAAACAGGAUUAGAUACCCUGGUAGUCCACGCCCUAAACGAUGUCUACUAGUUGUCGGGUCUUAAUUGACUUGGUAACGCAGCUAACGCGUGAAGUAGACCGCCGCGGGAGGUACGGUCGCGAGAAGUAAACGUACGUAAUAGAAGUUAGUACGGACGUGAGACGUUGCCGACGGACGACGACGAGGGAGGAGG